rnacentral:lncRNA from 1 species
AGUGUGCAUCGUGCUAUACCUUUUGGCCAUCUUGCUUGCCCUUACCAAAUGGCACUAAAUUAAAAAAAAAAAACAAUGGAAAAACUUCUGCUUCUUUCUUAAAAUACAAGUUUUGUCAAAAAACCGGUGAUUAGAGACCAAUUGAUCUGACUUUUUUUAAAAGGGGGUUCUGUAUUGUAAGAUUAAGUGAAUGUUCAUGUUCAGCUUUUGUUUAUCAGGGUGAAAUAUGCGUAUUUCAUUUAUCACUCAUCUUUCGGGAUUCAAAUGGUAAGUGUCAUCUUAAAACUUGAUGUGACGGUAGAUCUAGCGAUGACGUUCGGCAUUUUUGCAGGGCUCCGUUACCUCAAAAUUUGGCACGACGCCACAGGGUAUUUCCCACCCCACUCCAUCGUGUUCCAUUUUGACAAUGACAUGCAUGAUGUAAACUACACACAAGGAAACAUGAAUGCCUUUCGAUAUAAAGAGAUUAUCCAUCACAAAUGUUACUUGAAAACAAAUGAGCGAGCAUGUAACUUUUACAGACCGGCGAGGCAGUGAGGUGUUGGCACACAUGACAGAAGUUCAGAGUUCUACUGAAGGUUCCACCUGCUUGCCAGGCACUGGGCUUGCGAUAGCCAUUUACAAAUGCAGCGAUUCCACGUGUGAGUUAGUCACUCACCUUGUUUUCACUUUUGACAUUUCAAAAUGUUUAUUUUAAUAAUGAUGAGCCAUGAUCAGUUGCUUAACAACCUUGUUUCUAAUGUGAUCACUGAAAUGGGUAUUAAAACACUUCUGCACCAAAUGUACCAUAUUUGCCCUUGUACCAUAAACCUGUAACCAUUGUAAAUGCUGCUGCCUUUACAGACUGCAUGCCCACAAUUGGCCAGCCUCUCAAUCCUUGCUAACAAUCGCUCUUCUCAUUUUCCAGCCAAGCCUAACUCGCCGCUUGAUGGUCGCUUUACUCCAGACCUCGCGUGGAGUGCUCCCAUUGAUGCAGAUGUGUGCGUGUGCUCGCCAUCCAAGCGAGCCAGCACUUUCUGGGGUGAAAGCAGUGACCUGGUAUUGCAAAGACGACUCAAAUUAGAUUCAAGUCCUGCCUCACCACCAUCGAGGUUUGACCGAGCUGCUGAUGUCUACCCUUCAUGUCAAGAGUGGCCUUGGGCAGCUGUUGCUGCAGCAGGAGCUACGCUGCCCCGUCCACACCAGAACCGAAGGGCAACCAGUGAACCAGAAUGUUGCAAUGCACGUAACUGCAUUCACCCACGAGGAACAGACUCAACAGAUUUGAUAAAUUUCAAUAUGCCACUGUCCCAAUUUCAAGUGAGUCCAACCACUCUUGAACUGUCUCAGCGUUCUCGCCUCUCAUCUUCAAGUGAGCGUCUCUGUACUGGCCAUCAUGCUCCUUUACUCCGAACAAGAAGUGAUGCCACUGUAAUUGCAACAACGCGAAGCAGCCACGAAACUGUGAGACUUCCAGAUGUGAACUGUAAUGAAACUCACGCUCUGCAUGCAACAAGGGCCUUGUCCGAGGUGCCGAAUCUUGCUCCACUACGCUACGAGCCGAUUUCACGCUCUUCUGAAUCGGUACGUGAUGCAGUUCGGGCAGCAGCAGCUGCUGGUGCAACACUGCGCCGUCGAAAUUCUGAUCAUGACAGUUUGGCCAACAAUGACCAGCAGGCCCUUACGAUGGCAGCAUCUAUGCUGCUGCCUUUGCCCAGCACUUUGGCAAACGCAACCACGGUUCCACCCUUCUGGUCACCAGAUGACAACCAGAGCUCACCAAAUUUGGGUCAGCUUGGUGGUCCAAGGCCACGGCCUAUGGGCCCAGCUACAUGGCGAUCUUGUGAGGCUGUGCAUUGUCUGGUAGGCCGAAGAACAGAGACCAGUGUUGGGGGCUGGUCAGGCGGUGUCUUGGUUUACUUAGCGGAAACAGCAGUGCCCUCUGAUGAAGUGCCAUGCCACUAUCCUUUGACACACCAGGACUUGGAAUGGGAGCGUCAGUGCAGCAGUGUUGUCAAGAUGCCCAGUGUGCGUAGCCUUGUUGAGCAGUUUCAGGAUGCCACAAGGCCACUCCCCACAAGUACUGCCCCCCGUUCAGCAGGCUCUAGUCCUGUUCGCAGGCCUGACCCCUGCCAUAGCCAUUUACGGCAAAAAGAAUGGCUCGACAUACCUCCAGUGAAAAAUGCAUGCAGGACGCCAACGGAAUUCAGUGAGGCAAUAAUGAGUAGUGGGCAGCUUGCUCCUCCCUCUGCUUCUCCUCCUCCUCCUCCUCCUCCUCCACCACCACCACCACUGCCACCCGCGUUUCCAAGUGAGGAAAGACGUGAAGGGUUGGUCUCAGAGGUAUCUGAUUUAGAAUCACUUUUUCAAGCAAGCUUGCAGGCUGGAGCUGGUGUAACCAGCCAGCGAAGGGAGAGUGGACGACCGGGAUCAAUGGCAGGCGCGGGUGCGACUGCAAGAAAAUCUCACCAGGCUCCUGCAUACAAUUUGGCCUUGCGUGCUCGUGCACGUGCCCCCUUGCAUGGCCCUGAACAGGAGGUGCUGGGUGAAGGAGCACCACGACGAGGCAGGUAUGGAGAAGGCUGAAAGAAUAGUUUUAGACUGGCUCAAAAGUUUUUGCUUAACAUUUCACAGAGAGUUAAUUAGAGGAGCGUAACUACAUUUAACUGUCAGAGGUGCCGGGCAAUGCGAGGUUGCUUUGUUGACAGGAAUAUUCAGAGAGGA